rnacentral:lncRNA from 1 species
UUUGAACACUUAAUAUUGAAUCAAUCCACGCUUAACGUGAAAUUGGCCCCUGUUUGAACUAUAUAUAUAUAUAUAUAUAUAUAUAUAUAUAUAUAUUUUAUUUUGUUUUAUUAUUAUUAUUAUUUUUUUUGUAAAAAUAGAUUUUGUAAUAAUGAUAUUUUUGAAGAAUAGGACAAAAUUUUGAAUUUACUUAUAAAAUUAUUUCAUAGAGAGAAUGUGUGGUUAAAAAUGAACUUGAGGAAAAAUAACAUUUGAAUUUUUAUUUUUUAUUUUUUAUUAUUAUUAUUUUUUUAAAAACUGAGACAAAGGGUUAGUUGAAACACAUUAAUGAUUAUAAACGUAAACCACAAAUUUUGACUUUUGAUAACCUAUAUUUUAGUUGUAUCCUCGAAAAAUGUUCAUAGGGAGACUUUUCAAAAUAAGCGUUUAUUUGGUGAAAAUUAAAAUCAAAAUUUUUAGUAAAUUUUGAUAAAAAUUAAUGAAAUAUGUGAUUGAAAAGUAGCGACUCAUAAAAUAUAUAAUAAAUUUUAAAUUUUAAUUAUCAAAUAGGGACUAUGAAUUCUUUUUGUUAAAAGUGAAAUUUGUUCUAAUGGUAUAUACUAGGUUGAGUUAAUGGUUCGUUGUUGCACUAGGCCAUCAAGGCCCACAAGAUAUAUAUUUUUUUAAUUUUUAAUUAAUAUAAUGUCUUAUAUGGGUUCAUUUUUUAUUUUUAUUUGUUAAAAUUUUACCUUUUACCACAAAUUUUACUGAGUAGUAAUUAUGAAUAUUACCAAAUGUGUAAAUAUUAGAGCUAAUGUUUGACUUUGAAAAGUAAAAUUGAAGGGAAAGAAAAUGAAACCCAAGAUAAAGGAAAUAUAAAUUAAAUCUUUAAUCUUCUUACUGGAGGUUGGUUGUAGUCUAGGGUUUCACAAUGUACUUUGGAGAUUAGUGCUUGAAUAUUUGUAGUAUAAAAAUGAAUUUUUUUCAUAAUUUUCUUCGAAACUUUACACCAUUAAUCUCUAAUCUUCAGCUUCUAUAGUAAAAUUAUUUACUGCUUUUAAAAGUCUAACUUUUUAAUCUCCAAAAUUUAGUUAAGUUUUGUUUGAAAAUUAAUAUAUUUAUAGGCGAAUUUUAAGAAAUUUUCAGUGUUUUCAUUCGUUGCUAACUUUUCUUUAUUUUUUUGGUCAAUUUAUUGGUGAAAAUGGACUCCAAUGAUUUCAUAUAAGGACAUAACACGGAUGGAUGUAGACUUUAUUUCUG